UGAGUAACCUGCCCUUAACUCUGGGAUAAGCCUGGGAAACUGGGUCUAAUACCGGAUAUGACUCCUCAUCGCAUGGUGGGGGGUGGAAAGCUUUUUUGUGGUUUUUGGAUGGACUCGCGGCCUAUCAGCUUGUUGGUGAGGUAAUGGCUCACCAAGGCGACGACGGGUAGCCGGCCUGAGAGGGUGACCGGCCACACUGGGACUGAGACACGGCCCAGACCUCCGUACGGGAGGCAG
rnacentral:rRNA from 1 species